rnacentral:lncRNA from 1 species
CUUAUUAUAAUUUUUAGACAAUAAUUAUAUUUUACAUAAUUAUGUAUAUAAUUAGUUUAUUUUAGGAAUAUUCAAAAAUCGUUUAAAAAGAUUUUUAGUUUUACUUAAAUAUUUUAUUAAGUUAAUUAGUAGUUUAUAUUUUUGAAUCAUUAGUUUAUUAAGUUAAUUAUUUUAUUUCGUUAAGAUUAAGAAGCUCAUUAAUUAAUUAUAUUAAUUCAUCCUAUUUAAUUAUUAGUCGAAUUUACUAAUUAACUCAAUUUAGCUAAGUCAUUAAUCCAAUUGGCCAAUUUCUCAAUUCCAAUGCAACCAAUUUCUUCAACUCCUCUUAGUCCAAUUUUGGGCCUAAUUUCUAGCCCAAUUCAUUACAUCCAGUAGCCAACCCAAUUCUUAUAACAAUUCUCAACAACCCACUUUCAAAUACAAUACCCACUUCUUUUGUAAUAAGCACCCCAACAUACAAUUCCAAAUAACAACAGCAAAUACAACGUACAACAUGACCAAAAUGACCCCGUAUUGUUCUUCUUCUCCUCCAGCGACAAGAAACCCAGAACUGGUAUAGCAGAGAAAGAGGC